rnacentral:rRNA from 1 species
AUGAACGCUGGCGGCGUGCCUAAUACAUGCAAGUCGAGCGAACAGAUGAGGAGCUUGCUCCUCUGACGUUAGCGGCGGACGGGUGAGUAACACGUGGAUAACCUACCUAUAAGACUGGGAUAACUUCGGGAAACCGGAGCUAAUACCGGAUAAUAUAUUGAACCGCAUGGUUCAAUAGUGAAAGACGGUUUUGCUGUCACUUAUAGAUGGAUCCGCGCCGCAUUAGCUAGUUGGUAAGGUAACGGCUUACCAAGGCAACGAUGCGUAGCCGACCUGAGAGGGUGAUCGGCCACACUGGAACUGAGACACGGUCCAGACUCCUACGGGAGGCAGCAGUAGGGAAUCUUCCGCAAUGGGCGAAAGCCUGACGGAGCAACGCCGCGUGAGUGAUGUAGGUCUUCGGAUCGUAAAACUCUGUUAUUAGGGAAGAACAAAUGUGUAAGUAACUAUGCACGUCUUGACGGUACCUAAUCAGAAAGCCACGGCUAACUACGUG